GAUGAACGCUAGCGACAGGCUUAACACAUGCAAGUCGAGGGGCAGCACAGGUAGCAAUACCGGGUGGCGACCGGCGCACGGGUGAGUAACGCGUAUGCAACUUGCCUAUCAGAGGGGGAUAACCCGGCGAAAGUCGGACUAAUACCGCAUGAAGCAGGGAUCCCGCAUGGGAAUAUUUGCUAAAGAUUCAUCGCUGAUAGAUAGGCAUGCGUUCCAUUAGGCAGUUGGCGGGGUAACGGCCCACCAAACCGACGAUGGAUAGGGGUUCUGAGAGGAAGGUCCCCCACAUUGGUACUGAGACACGGACCAAACUCCUACGGGAGGCAGCAGUGAGGAAUAUUGGUCAAUGGCCGAGAGGCUGAACCAGCCAAGUCGCGUGAGGGAUGAAGGUUCUAUGGAUCGUAAACCUCUUUUAUAAGGGAAUAAAGUGCGGGACGUGUCCCGUUUUGUAUGUACCUUAUGAAUAAGGAUCGGCUAACUCCGUGCCAGCAGCCGCGGUAAUACGGAGGAUCCGAGCGUUAUCCGGAUUUAUUGGGUUUAAAGGGUGCGUAGGCGGCCUUUUAAGUCAGCGGUGAAAGUCUGUGGCUCAACCAUAGAAUUGCCGUUGAAACUGGGGGGCUUGAGUAUGUUUGAGGCAGGCGGAAUGCGUGGUGUAGCGGUGAAAUGCAUAGAUAUCACGCAGAACCCCGAUUGCGAAGGCAGCCUGCCAAGCCAUUACUGACGCUGAUGCACGAAAGCGUGGGGAUCAAACAGGAUUAGAUACCCUGGUAGUCCACGCAGUAAACGAUGAUCACUAGCUGUUUGCGAUACACUGUAAGCGGCACAGCGAAAGCGUUAAGUGAUCCACCUGGGGAGUACGCCGGCAACGGUGAAACUCAAAGGAAUUGACGGGGGCCCGCACAAGCGGAGGAACAUGUGGUUUAAUUCGAUGAUACGCGAGGAACCUUACCCGGGUUUGAACGCAUUCGGACCGAGGUGGAAACACCUUUUCUAGCAAUAGCCGUUUGCGAGGUGCUGCAUGGUUGUCGUCAGCUCGUGCCGUGAGGUGUCGGCUUAAGUGCCAUAACGAGCGCAACCCUUGCCACUAGUUACUAACAGGUAAAGCUGAGGACUCUGGUGGGACUGCCAGCGUAAGCUGCGAGGAAGGCGGGGAUGACGUCAAAUCAGCACGGCCCUUACAUCCGGGGCGACACACGUGUUACAAUGGCGUGGACAAAGGGAGGCCACCUGGCGACAGGGAGCGAAUCCCCAAACCACGUCUCAGUUCGGAUCGGAGUCUGCAACCCGACUCCGUGAAGCUGGAUUCGCUAGUAAUCGCGCAUCAGCCAUGGCGCGGUGAAUACGUUCCCGGGCCUUGUACACACCGCCCGUCAAGCCAUGGGAGCCGGGGGUACCUGAAGUCCGUAACCGCGAGGAUCGGCCUAGGGUAAAACUGGUGACUGGGGCUAAGUC
rnacentral:rRNA from 1 species